AUCAGGGACGAAUAGCUCAGUAAAACUGCGAUGAUUUAGUCUGGCUGUGUAGAUAACUACGUGAAAAUGUAGCUAAGGGAAGGCAGAAUAAGACGCAGGACUAUCAGUUAGUUGGUAGUGUAAUGGACUACCAAGACAGUGACGGUUGACGGGAAAUUAGGGUUUUGUACCGGAGAGGGAGCCUGAGAGAUUGCUCCCACGUCCAAGGACGGCAGCAGGCGCGAAAAUUGCCCACUCUUUGCAGGAGGCAGUUAUGAGACGUGAAGAUGAGUAUCUUGUAAAGAGGGAUAGGAGAAUUGGAGGGCAAGUUUGGUGCCAGCAGCCGCGGUAAUACCGACUCCAAGAGUGUGUAUGAGAGAUGCUGCAGUUAAAAAGUCCGUAGUCAUAGAAGGGCAAAGAGAGAUGCGAGGUCUCACAGUGCGAUGAUGGAGGAGCCGAUGGGGAACAUAGUAUACCAGGGCGAGAGAUGAAAUGCCAAGACCCCUGGUGGACUGAGCGAGGCGAAG
rnacentral:rRNA from 1 species